rnacentral:rRNA from 1 species
GACGAACGCUGGCGGCGUGCUUAACACAUGCAAGUCGAACGGAAAGGCCCUGCUUUUGUGGGGUGCUCGAGUGGCGAACGGGUGAGUAACACGUGAGUAACCUGCCCUUGACUUUGGGAUAACUUCAGGAAACUAGGGCUAAUACCGGAUAGGAGCUCCUGCUGCAUGGUGGGGGUUGGAAAGUUUCGGCGGUCGGGGAUGGACUCGCGGCUUAUCAGCUUGUUGGUGGGGUAGUGGCUUACCAAGGCUUUGACGGGUAGCCGGCCUGGGAGGGUGACCGGCCACAUUGGGACUGAGAUACGGCCCAGACUCCUACGUGAGGCAGCAGUGGGGAAUAUUGCACAAUGGGCGGAAGCCUGAUGCAGCAACGCCGCGUGCGGGAUGACGGCCUUCGGGUUGUAAACCGCUUUCGCCUGUGACGAAGCGUGAGUGACGGUAAUGGGUAAAGAAGCACCGGCUAACUACGUG